rnacentral:lncRNA from 1 species
CUACAACACACAUUUACAUAGACAAUCAAAUUGGAUUUUAGAGGCGGGCAUAGAACCCACCUCUACAACAAAGUCACUCUUAAUUAAUGAAAAGCAAUAGAGGUAGGUUGAUGUGUCUGCCACUAGAAAUAAAAAAACACCGCGCCACGGGCCACCACCACUACGCUGUAUCCACAGGAGUCACCACCGUUGCCGAUGAGGAUGAUGCUUCCUCAAGAACACUGGCCCAUCCACUAAUCCAACCUCCUAUCCACCGCCAUGGCACAUCCUCUUCCUCUCAUGUCCCCAUGUCCUCCUCCUCGAACAUUGUCGUCGCAUUUCGCACCGAACUUGUGGCCAACCUUUGACCUAGCGCCAUACAUUGACAAACAGUGGAGGACAAUUAGGAGAGAUGAGAUCAAGGAGUGGAGAAAGAGAUCGAGGAGAGAGGUCAAGGGAGCGCACCUGUUGCCACCACUGACCACGAGUAGGGGCUUGGCCGCAUUGCCCGCCAAUAGACCACGAAGAAGCACAACAACUAGAUCCAUGACGAGGAGGAGCCAAGAAGGAUCUGUGGCUUAGACAGAUCCACAAUGAGGAGGGGCCUAGCCGGAUUCUCUUGCUUGUCAUGU